rnacentral:rRNA from 1 species
AAAGAGCGCACUUCACUGUGGCUCGACCCUUCACAUCCUCACACUGUGAACUGUAAUACCUUUUUUUAUUACACCCUACAAGUCAACGAAUGUACUACUAUUAAAGUAACAAAACUUUCAACAACGGAUCUCUUGGCUCUCGCAUCGAUGAAGAACGCAGCGAAAUGCGAUAAGUAAUGUGAAUUGCAGAAUUCAGUGAAUCAUCGAAUCUUUGAACGCACCUUGCACCCUUUGGCAUUCCGAAGGGUACAUCUGUUUGAGUGUCAUGAAUACCUCAACCACUACAUUUGCUUAAGAUGGAGUUGGUUGGAUGUUGAGCGUCUUGCUGUGUUGUCACAAUGCAGCUCGCUCCAAAUGCAUACGCAAUCCUCUAUAUGAUCCGGAUUGACCCAAUGUGAUAAUUACCUUCAUUGGGGAUGCCUCUCGCCAGGCAGCCGAAUUUAUAGGGUAGCUUCGAACCCUUCAAACUCUAAACUUUAGACCUCAAAUCAGAUGGGACUACCCGCUGAACUUAAGCAUAUCAAUAAGCGGAGGAAAAGAAACUAACAAGGAUUCCCCCAGUAACGGCGAGUGAAGAGGGAACAGCCCAAAUUUGUAAUCUGGCCCUUUCAGGGUCCGAGUUGUAAUCUCGAGAACUGUUUUCCGCGCUGGACCGCCUACAAGUCUGUUGGAAUAUAGCUUCAUAGAGGGUGAGAAUCCCGUACAUGCGGCGGACUACCAGUGCUUUGUGAUACAGUCUCCAAGAGUCGAGUUGUUUGGGAAUGCAGCUCAAAA